rnacentral:rRNA from 1 species
UACGUAGGGUGCGAGCGUUGUCCGGAAUUACUGGGCGUAAAGAGCUCGUAGGUGGUUUGUCGCGUUGUCCGUGAAAACUCACAGCUCAACUGUGGGCGUGCGGGCGAUACGGGGCAGACUGGAGUACUGCAGGGGAGACUGGAAUUCCUGGUGUAGCGGUGGAAUGCGCAGAUAUCAAGGGAGGGAAACACCCGAUGGGCGAAAGGGCAGAUCUCUGGGGCCCGUAAACUGACG